UGAACAAGCGCCACGAGUAUGAGUUACACCGUAACAGAUGUAGCGACGCUACACACAACGAAUUUUGUACAAGUUUUUGACAAAUUUUUUCAGAAAACAUGAACAAAAUGUGACGAAUUUUUGGGGAAGGAUAACUUCCUGUGACUUUUUUGAAUCUCGUGAAUCAUAUUGGAAUAGAUACUCCAGAAAAAGGGCUCGAGUAACAAACUUCUGUGUUCCAUAGUUUUCAAAAUGCCGUGUGUAAAAUACAUCACGCACAUUCGGUGGAAAACGUGCCGCUCGGGCUUACACACUAGACAAGAAUCUUUUUCGCACUAGUCAGGUUUACAGUGAGUCCUAACGUCACCAUUACUUAUGCAAUAGUAAGUCAAAGUAAUUCUUCAGUCAGAAAACAAGGCCUAACAGAUUGUAUCGAAGGAUUAACAUUCACAGAUUACACAUGUUCCAACCAGCAAGCUCUAUUUAAAAAAUGUUACGUUAUUUUUGAAAUAU